rnacentral:rRNA from 1 species
UACGUAGGGUGCGAGCGUUGUCCGGAAUUACUGGGCGUAAAGAGCUCGUAGGUGGUUUGUCGCGUUGUUCGUGAAAACUCACAGCUCAACUGUGGGCGUGCGGGCGAUACGGGCAGACUGGAGUACUGCAGGGGAGACUGGAAUUCCUGGUGUAGCGGUGGAAUGCGCAGAUAUCAGGAAGAACACCCGUGGCGAAGGCGGUUCUCUGGGACGGUACUGACGCUGAGACGCGAAAGCGUGGGUAGCAAACAGG